rnacentral:tRNA from 1 species
GCCAGCGUAGCUCAAUCGGCAGAGCACAGCUUUCGUAAAGCUGGGGUUGUGGGUUCAAGUCCCACCGCUGGCUCCU